rnacentral:rRNA from 1 species
GACGAACGCUGGCGGCGUGCUUAACACAUGCAAGUCGAACGGAAAGGCCCUGCUUUUGUGGGGUGCUCGAUUGGCGAACGGGUGAGUAACACGUGAGUAACCUGCCCUUGACUUUGGGAUAACUUCAGGAAACUGGGGCUAAUACCGGAUAGGAGCUCCUGCUGCAUGGUGGGGGUUGGAAAGUUUCGGCGGUUGGGGAUGGACUCGCAGCUUAUCCGCUGGUUGGUGAGGUAGUGGCUUACCAAGGCUUUGACGGGUAGCCGGCCUGAGAGGGUGACCGGCCACAUUGGGACUGAGAUACGGCCCAGACUCCUACGGGAGGCAGAAGUGGGGAAUAUUGCACAAUGGGCGGAAGCCUGAUGCAGCAACGCCGCGUGCGGGAUGACGGCCUUCGGGUUGUAAACCGCUUUCGACUGUGACGAAGCGUGAGUGACGGUAAUGGGUAAAGAAGCACCGGCUAACUACGUG